UUUUAGUCCCGAUAAAAGUUGCGUCCUUUUGUAGUCUCAUUUUUUUUACAAGACCACAAAAGAUAGAACGAAUAGCGGGGCACGAG
rnacentral:sRNA from 1 species